GACCCAUAAGAUCCAUAUGUACAAGUUCAAAACAAAUGGUGGUACCAACGUGUUGUAACACUUUGUGUGGUACUCUAGUUUGCUUUCCCUUCUGGCACAUUCCGCAUAUAGGAAUGUCCUUGAUCUUGAGAUCUGGAAUUCCUCUUAUGGCAUUGUACUUGUUGAGCAACUUCAGAUUUUUGAAGUUUGUGUGCCCUAGUUUCUGGUGCCACAGCUCUACUUCACUUACUCUUGAGCUCUUGCAUGAGAUGGUGUCACCUGUUUGAUAACAAUUAUCCAUUGAUCUGGAACCUGUCAGUACACAAUGAUUUUGAUUAUCAAACACAGAACAACAGUAUUUAUCAAAUUGCAC
rnacentral:lncRNA from 1 species